ACGGUUUUGCCGUUGGUAGAAUAGGGAAACGGGUGAAAUUCCCGUGCGGGACCGCCGCCGUAAUGGAAGAGCUUUGGUCAAAAAAUGUCACUGUGGGUACACAUGGGAAGACAGAACCAGAGCGAUGACGCCAGAGCCGGAAGACCUGCCUUGCAUUC
rnacentral:ncRNA from 1 species